GACGAACGCUGGCGGCGUGCUUAACACAUGCAAGUCGAACGGAAAGGCCCUGCUUUUGUGGGGUGCUCGAGUGGCGAACGGGUGAGUAACACGUGAGUAACCUGCCCUUGACUGUGGGAUAACUUCAGGAAACUGGGGCGAAUACCGGAUAGGAGCUCCUGCUGCAUGGUGGGGGUUGGAAAGUUUCGGCGGUUGGGGAUGGACGCGCGGCUUAUCAGCUUGUUGGUGGGGUAGUGGCUUACCACGGCUUUGACGGGUAGCCGGCCUGAGAGGGUGACCGGCCACAUUGGGACUGAGAUACGGCCCAGACUCCUACGGGAGGCAGCAGUGGGGAAUAUUGCACAAUGAGCGGAAGCCUGAUGCAGCAACGCCGCGUGCGGGAUGACGGCCUUCGGGUUGUAAACCGCUUUCGCCUGUGACGAAGCGUGAGUGACGGUAAUGGGUAAAGAAGCACCGGCUAACUACGUG
rnacentral:rRNA from 1 species